rnacentral:rRNA from 1 species
CAACCGGGAUUUGCCUUAGUAACGGCGAGUGAAGCGCGCAAAAGCUCAAAUUUGAAAUCUGGUACUUCGGUGCCCGAGUUGUAAUUUGUAGAAGGUAACUUUGGGGCUGGUCCUUGUCUAUGUUCCUUGGAACAGGACGUCAUAGAGGGUGAGAAUCCCGUGUGGCGAGGAUCCCAGUUCUUUGUAAAGUGCUUUCGAAGAGUCGAGUUGUUUGGGAAUGCAGCUCUAAGUGGGUGGUAAAUUCCAUCUAAAGCUAAAUAUUGGCGAGAGACCGAUAGCGAACAAGUACAGUGAUGGAAAGAUGAAAAGAACUUUGAAAAGAGAGUGAAAAAGUACGUGAAAUUGUUGAAAGGGAAGGGCAUUUGAUCAGACAUGGUGUUUUGCGCCCUCUGCUCCUUGUGGGUGGGGGAAUCUCGCAGCUCACUGGGCCAGCAUCAGUUUUGGCGGCAGGAUAAAUCUGCAGGAAUGUAGCUUGCCUCGGUAAGUGUUAUAUCCUGUAGAAAUACUGCCAGCUGGGACUGAGGACUGCGACUUUACGUCAAGGAUGCUGGCAUAAUGGUUAUAUGCCGCCCGUCUUGAAACACGG